AACCAAUCUCUCAUUUCUCUCUUCUUUCUCUCACUUUUUUCUAUCUAAAGUUUAUUAUCUUCUGUAUUUUCUAAUCUCAAUUUUAUAUUCAUGUCAUUUUGCAGGAAAGUUAUGUUUUUUUGUUAAGAACAACAACAGAGCAACAUAGUUAUUUUCUUCUUGAUCAAACUAAUUUUUUCUUUGUUGAUUUACUAUUUGAAUGUUUUAUUAUCUUCAUAUAAUCUUCAAUCACUUUCAAUGUUUGCUUCAGAUGCAUCAUCUUCAUCUAAUCGCAAGCGAAAAGUUUAAAGCUCACCAUAACAAGUGGAUCUGGAUAAAUAAGUGAUGGAAGUGGAGAAGAAGUUGAGCACUUUGGUGCAAAGAUCUUGAAAUAAAAAGGUCCAAAAAGAGCUUACAUGAUCACUGUUACAGAUCUGACCAUAAAUUCCAUGGAUGAGCUUGAAGAUGACGAAAAGUGAUAUAUUUUUCGGCGGAACACAUGUAAGGAGGAAAAAAAAGAUGAGAGGAAGAUAUUGAUAGUAUUAGUGUGGCCAUUUGAGACACCAAAGAUACGGCUAGAGUUUGGGUUGUGGAUACAAAGUUAACAAAAAUUAUAGAAAGUGAAAAUUGAGAAGUUAGAGAAAGAGAAUUAAUUGAAAAGGAAAGAGACAAUGAAAUCAUACGGAUUUCAAUGUGAUAACUCAUGGACUUCAAACCAAAAUUGAAUUAAGUUAAUUUUAAUUUUUUAAUAAAUA